UUCUGAUCACCUCAGUUGUUGCUUUUGUGAGGAUCUCAAGAGAAAGCAAUGAGAGGGUGGGUCUGAAACCCA
ensembl:miRNA